rnacentral:piRNA from 1 species
UGUUUUGCCAGGACAUUUCCUUUAGACUU